rnacentral:miRNA from 1 species
UAGCUGUAAAUGAGUGUUUUU